rnacentral:misc_RNA from 1 species
GUGAAUCAUCAAAUUUUUGAACGCAAAUUGCACUCCCUUCGGAGAGUAGGACUGUUUGAGUGUCAGACUAAAAAAAAUCGACGUAGUCGCUGUAUCGCGGUCGCAUACGUCGGAAAUUGGGUCAUCUUAAACCGUUGGGUUUUUAAGAUGUUUAAAAUUUUCUUUACGAUUCCACGAACGUUUCUAAGAUUUUACUUCUUACACAC